GCUGGGCAUGGUGGUGCGCGCCUGUAAUCCCAGCUAUUCAUGAGGCUGAGACAGGAGAAUUGCCUGAACCCAGGAGGCGGAGGUUGCGGUGAGCCGAGAUGGCGCCAUUGCACUCCAGCCUGGGUAACAAGAGCAAAACUCCAUCUCAAAAAAAAAACCAUGACGCAAGAAAACAGGUUUUUUUUGUUUUUGUUUUUUUGAGACGGAGUCUCGCUCUGUCAACCCAGGCUGGAAUGCAGUGGCGCCAUCUUGGCUCACUGCAACCUCCGCCUCCCAGGUUCAAGCGCUUCUCCUGCCUCAG
rnacentral:SRP_RNA from 1 species